UACGUAGGAGGCGAGCGUUGUCCGGAAUUACUGGGUGUAAAGCGCGCGUAGGUGGGAGGCCAAGUCUGUGGUGAAAUCGCCCGGCUCAACUGGGCGGGGUCCAUGGAAACUGGUCACCUGGAGGACGGUAGAGGCGAGUGGAAUUCCCGGUGUAGUGGUGAAAUGCGUAGAGAUCGGGAGGAACACCAGUGGCGAAGGCGGCUCGCUGGGCUGGUCCUGACACUGAGGCGCGAAGGCGUGGGGAGCGAACGGG
rnacentral:rRNA from 1 species